UUGUUGAGAACUAUAUAAUUUGAAAUUAUUGUGUGGGCCUAAAAUUAGCCAUCACAAGAGUUUGUUAUAAAAUAAUAAAAACACAUAAGAAUAUUAUUAUAUAUAACACCACGUAAAACUAUAAGAAUAAUAAUCUGAACCAAAAGAUUAAUUUACCUAUGCUAGGAUGAGUAUUAUAAACUAUCUAAGUUGAAAAAUAAAGUGUUUCCUAAAAAAAUAUCUUUUAUAUAAAUUAAAGAGAAGGAAUUCGGCAAAUGUUGUUUCGCCUGUUUAUCAAAAACAUGGCUCUUUGAAAAGAACAUAUAAAGAGUCGAACCUGCCCAGUGAAUAAUUUUAACGGCCGCGGUACCCUGACCGUGCAAAGGUAGCAUAAUCAUUUGCCUUAUAAUUGAAGGCUAGCAUGAAUGGUCUGACGAGAGCAACACUGUCUCCUCUUUAUUAUUUAAAAAUUAACUUAUAGGUGAAGAGGCCUAUAUUGGAUUGAAG
rnacentral:rRNA from 1 species